AGCACUUAUCUGAGUUUGGAACAUAAAUACAAGAGUGUUACAUUAGACCUUCAUGGCAUUUUCAAAGUCCAGUUUCCCAACCAAUAAAUAAGAGAUUCUAAGCUCAAGAAAACCCUAGUUCGGAAGAUGAUCAUUGCAAUUCCAGAAUAGCAAAGGCUAAAGCAUGCUGAGAAACUAAUUUCAAAUCACUAGGCAACAUGUACACAUUAAUGUCGACAAAACACAUUUCUCAAUCACAAUGCAUACAGAAAUUCCACAGAAUAUAGGUUCCAAACUCAAGUUCUUUAACUUGCAG
rnacentral:misc_RNA from 1 species